rnacentral:rRNA from 1 species
GACGAACGCUGGCGGCGUGCCUAAUACAUGCAAGUCGAACGCACUCUCGUUUAGAUUGAAGGAGUUUGCUCCUGAUUGAUAAACAUUUGAGUGAGUGGCGGACGGGUGAGUAACACGUGGGUAACCUGCCCUAAAGUGGGGGAUAACAUUUGGAAACAGAUGCUAAUACCGCAUAAAACCUAACACCGCAUGGUGUAGGGUUGAAAGAUGGUUUCGGCUAUCACUUUAGGAUGGACCCGCGGUGCAUUAGUUAGUUGGUGAGGUAAAGGCUCACCAAGACCGUGAUGCAUAGCCGACCUGAGAGGGUAAUCGGCCACACUGGGACUGAGACACGGCCCAGACUCCUACGGGAGGCAGCAGUAGGGAAUCUUCCACAAUGGACGAAAGUCUGGUGGAGCAACGCCGCGUGAGUGAAGAAGGUUUUCGGAUCGUAAAACUCUGUUGUUGGAGAAGAAUGUAUCUGAUAGUAACUGAUCAGGUAGUGACGGUAUCCAACCAGAAAGCCACGGCUAACUACGUG